AAAUUAUUAUAAAUAUUCAAUAUUAAUAUAUUAAAGUUAGGACUGAAACCGAUAAGCAUUGACUGAAAAGAAACGCUUUAGGCAAGUGGGUUUAACACAACUACUACUCUUAUCUUCUUCUUCUUCUUCUUUUUUUCUUUUUUUUUUCUUUUGCUUUUUACAAAAAUUGGUGAGUAUUCAUUUGAGUAAGUGAUAGAAAAUUCCUGAAGAAAAGGUUAGAUAAUUCAUCUUUGAAUCAGGUAGCUGGCUGGAAUCAGUACUAGAUUCAAUGGGGGAUAAUUAAACAGAAAACAAAGGGGUAACGUGCAGCUGCAAUUUCAUAAACAUUAUAUAUAUAUAUAGGUAUUGAGUUGAUUGAUAUGAGAUGGGCCAUUGAUGAUGGAAGCAAGAAAGCAGCAAUGGAAUUAGUGGAAUGAGAUGAAGUGGGAACAUGUGUGGCUUUCCACAUUAACCACUAAAGCUCUCAUCUUUGGAAUGGUAAAUUUUUGUUUCUCUUUUUAAAUGAAAAAGGGGGAAUGACCAUUAAGAUUCAAUGUGCGGACAAUAGGGUUGAAAUGGAACAGCUUUUUAAAUGGGCAAAAAGGUGUUGAAAGUGGAAGAAGGUGAACAUAGAGACAGGGAUAUACUGUUUGUGUCUAUAUGGUGUUUGUCAAAAUGCUGCAAUCAACCCCACAUUUCCAUUUCUACUAUAAAACAAGUAGGGAAGCCCACAUUUUCUACAUUGGAAAAAAAAUCAAUAUCUCCAAGGAAAAAAACAACAAAGAAGUUACAUUUAAAGUUUCUUUUCUUUUUCAUUGUUUGGAUUCUACAUAAAAACUUGUAUAAAUCCAACAACAAAAAAGAGCAUGUAACAUCACUGAAAUGAAAAUCGAUGGACCUCGAAA